rnacentral:rRNA from 1 species
UGUGCGGCCUAUCAGCUUGUUGGUGAGGUAAUGGCUCACCAAGGCGACGACGGGUAGCCGGCCUGAGAGGGCGACCGGCCACACUGGGACUGAGACACGGCCCAGACUCCUACGGGAGGCAGCAGUGGGGAAUAUUGCACAAUGGGCGAAAGCCUGAUGCAGCGACGCCGCGUGAGGGAUGACGGCCUUCGGGUUGUAAACCUCUUUCAGCAGGGAAGAAGCGAAAGUGACGGUACCUGCAGAAGAAGCGCCGGCUAACUACGUGCCAGCAGCCGCGGUAAUACGUAGGGCGCGAGCGUUGUCCGGAAUUAUUGGGCGUAAAGAGCUCGUAGGCGGCUUGUCACGUCGGUUGUGAAAGCCCGGGGCUUAACCCCGGGUCUGCAGUCGAUACGGGCAGGCUAGAGUUCGGUAGGGGAGAUCGGAAUUCCUGGUGUAGCGGUGAAAUGCGCAGAUAUCAGGAGGAACACCGGUGGCGAAGGCGGAUCUCUGGGCCGAUACUGACGCUGAGGAGCGAAAGCGUGGGGAGCGAACAGGAUUAGAUACCCUGGUAGUCCACGCCGUAAACGGUGGGCACUAGGUGUGGGCGACAUUCCACGUCGUCCGUGCCGCAGCUAACGCAUUAAGUGCCCCGCCUGG